UUUGUUUCUAAAGAAAGGAAUUUUAUUCUGGUGGAUGAUUAGUUGGGCUUUAGCCCAACAGGACUCACGCAGACGUACACAACCUUCACACGUCUUCUUCUCUCAUUCCCCUCAAUAAAAAAACGCCUUCUUCUCUCGCACUCACACCUUGGCCUUUCUCGAUCCCCUUUUCAUUUCCUUCUAUCCUCUCGGUCCUGCUUCCACCGGAUGAGCUCUGGCUGUUAGCGCUGGUAAUUGGUGCUGCGGAUUUAGUUACCAUCGACUCCUCAGUUUUCUCUCUUGAUUCCCUGCCGUCAUCUUGCACGCGCACCUGCAGCUCGGCUCACUGGUGCGGCCACGGGUUGGCCGUCUACGGCGCAUGGUUUGGCUCCUAUACGCCUCAUCGAUCUCUCAGACCGGUCAACGGAGUCGGAGGGAUAGCAGGGCCCAAGGAAAAGCUGCUCAAGGGAGGAGGCGAGCUCGUCGAUCUCGAUGGUGCUGUUGCCAUCACCGUCCAUGCAGGCGAUGUGGGUGUGGAUCUUGUCUCCCACAGCCAGCUUGGAUCCACCUUUAUUGUGAGGAUGCAUCGUGGCUCCCCGAGCGAGGCAGCUCAGCAGGUCGUCUUCAUCCUUGACAGUGCCAGCCUGAUUUCGGCAGCUCAUUCUUCCACCGGUCCCCCUUCUCUCUUUUCCUGCCUCUCUAAUAUUUUUCUUGUUUCUUAUCCUUUUUCUGCAUGUUAUGGGUAAACAAUAUAAUGCGAUUAAGGUACUGCUUGUUAGUGGAAGGUGUAUAUCUGCUUAUGGCCCCUGCCCCCGUUCAUAUAUUCAACUAAUUUAGUAAGUAAUUAGUUGUUUCGUGAUUAGCCAUGUCUUACUAUUUCCCAAAGAUAAAAUUAAUAGGAAAAUAGUUGCGAUUGCAUCCUACACAUGAACUAAAACGAUGUGCAGACUCUGUCCUGUCACUAUUGGCUUGUACUACAGAAUAAGCUUAAAAUACUUGGAUACAUCCGUAUCUAGACAAAUCUAAGACAAGAAUUUUGGGACGGAGGGAGUAUCAGAUAACACAAAGUAUCGACACUUGGUAUUAUUCAGCUAUUUCCAUCAAAUGUUGAUGCAUGUUUCCAAAUUUCAAUACUUCUAGGAGUAGUAGAUCAUAUCCAUUCUGCCAUAUCAUGUCCCUCGUUAACUCCUUGAGCUUAUGAGGAACACUCAAUCAACAAUAUCACUAUACCAGGUCUUCCUGAUGUUGUUUGGCCUACUUCCAAGCAUAGAUUGGAUAUCCGACCAAGUUGUGUUGCACAUGACUAUCACAAAUAGGUCUGUGUAUCCAGCCCACCGACGUCUUACUAUAGCAUUUUGGUAGUCGCUGUUGUAUCAGAAAGAAAACUGAUUUUUGAGAUUGUUCUCCAAUGGUCGGCAUUUUUCGUACUCCCAGACUUUGAAGGUCUUAAUUAUGUAGAUGGAGUCCUUUUUAAUUUUUGCUUUAAAUUUAUUUACCAGUUUGCUCCCAAUAGAAGCAUGGAUUGCAUUGCCCUACAUAGAGAGAAUACAUUAGCAAACUUUGGAAAAGGAAAACUAAAGAGACAUUAUAUAUGUAAUACUUGCACUUUUUUAUCUAAUGCAUGGAUCACAUUAGUCGAUAAGUUAAUUGCAUCCCAAAGUCUUAAAACUUUGACUUUGAUUGUCCAUGUCUCGUUUCGUGUAGUCAAUGCAUUCAAUGGUGUAGCCGCCAUAUUCUUUGAGGCCCUAAAAAUAUAAGAACAUAAUGUUGAUUAGCAAAGUAAUAUAAUGAAAUGCAAGCUUGAUAAAUACUCCCUCCGUCCCAAAAUUCUUGUCUUAGAUUUGUCUAAAUACGGAUGUAUCAAGUCAAUGGAGGGAGUACAAAAUAUUAUUGUUGCAACUGCCUCCAGUGAUUAUGUGACAACAAAGAAAAUUGAAAAAAAUUUAAACUGGAAAAGAUAUAUGAAAUCAUAGUAGUUGAAUAAAUACAAUUUUAUUGACAGUUGUUCCGAAUUUUUGUUUCAGCUGGAGCUAGUGGCAUAUGACAGGAACUCACUAUUGAAUUUGAGUUGGUACUGACUUGAUGUGGUCUGAUUGCUCGACGGAGGUGGCUUGUGCAUGCGGGAGGAAGACAAUUUUGAAGUUCCACUGGUUGGAGGAAGUUGACCUCGAAGUGUUGCUCGCCGUAGGAAGAUGAUGUAGGAGUUGUACCCUAAUAUCUGAGGCCGUGGAAGCAUUACAUGGGGGAGAUAUUAUAGGGAUGGCUGAGUUUACCACGUUUGCACGAUGGAAAGAGAGGUUUUUUGGAUGCCAUCUAGAGAGAUAUUCUUGAUCCAUUGAUCGAUGGAGCUGAUGACAAUCGAGGAGAGUCAACAAAGGAGAUUUAGGAUGACAAUCAAGGAGAGUCAAUAGAGGAGAUUGGGAUGACAAUCGAGGAGAGUCAAUAGAGGAGAUUGGGGUGCUAGCAACAGUGGGAGGAAGGCGAUGUUCAAGUGUCGCUCAUUGGAGGAAGACGAUGUUGAAAGGGGGCUCUGAAGUCGGAGAGGAAAGCUAAUUAAAAGAUAAGAUAAAGGUACUCCAAGACCCUGGGGAAUUUGAAAAGGAAUUCAAGCAUCUACCGGCAUGCCUUUUUUCUGGUUAAGACAGUACAAUAGUGCAUGCCGUCAUGGGUGUUGUCGAUUCAAGUGCAUUCCUGCACUGAUAUCCAUAUAUCAGUCUUCACGGUGCGCUAAUCAGGCGUGAAGCCAUCUAAAUAAAGCUAAGCCCAUAAUUUACUCCUAGUUUACACCUACCCACGAACGAUUCUUCUACAAUGUCUUUGAAUUCUUACCAUCCAAUGGGGGACAUUACCUUCUACUCCCUCCGUUCCUAAAUAUAAGUCUUUUUAGACAUUUCAAAUGGAGUACAACAUA